AACGAACGCUGGCGGCAGGCUUAACACAUGCAAGUCGAGCGCAUCCUUCGGGGUGAGCGGCAGACGGGUGAGUAACGCGUGGGAACGUACCCUUUCCUACGGAAUAGCUCCGGGAAACUGGAAUUAAUACCGUAUACGCCCUUAGGGGGAAAGGUUUAUCGGGGAAGGAUCGGCCCGCGUUGGAUUAGCUAGUUGGUGGGGUAAAGGCCUACCAAGGCGACGAUCCAUAGCUGGUCUGAGAGGAUGAUCAGCCACAUUGGGACUGAGACACGGCCCAAACUCCUCCGGGAGGCAGCAGUGGGGAAUAUUGGACAAUGGGCGCAAGCCUGAUCCAGCCAUGCCGCGGGAGUGAUGAAGGCCUUAGGGUUGUAAAGCUCUUUCAGUAGGGAAGAUAAUGACGGUACCUACAGAAGAAGCCCCGGCUAACUUCGUGCCAGCAGCCGCGGUAA
rnacentral:rRNA from 1 species